GACGAACGCUGGCGGCGUGCUUAACACAUGCAAGUCGAACGGAAAGGCCCUGCUUUUGUGGGGUGCUCGAGUGGCGAACGGGUGAGUAACACGUGAGUAACCUGCCCUUGACUUUGGGAUAACUUCAGGAAACUGGGGCUAAUACCGGAUAGGAGCUCCUGCUGCAUGGUGGGGGUUGGAAAGUUUCGGCGGUUGGGGAUGGACUCGCGGCUUAUCAGCUUGUUGGUGGGGUAGUGGCUUACCAAGGCUUUGACGGGUAGCCGGCCUGAGAGGGUGACCGGCCACAUUGGGACUGAGGGACGGCCCAGACUCCUACGGGAGGCAGCAGUGGGGAGUAUUGCACAAUGGGCGGAAGCCUGAUGCAGCAACGCCGCGUGCGGGAUGACGGCCUUCGGGUUGUAAACCGCUUUCGCCUGUGACGAAGCGUGAGUGACGGUAAUGGGUAAAGAAGCACCGGCUAACUACGUG
rnacentral:rRNA from 1 species